rnacentral:rRNA from 1 species
CCGGCGCACGGGUGAGUAACACGUAUCCAACCUGCCGUCUACUCUUGGCCAGCCUUCUGAAAGGAAGAUUAAUCCAGGAUGGCAUCAUGAGUUCACAUGUCCGCAUGAUUAAAGGUAUUUUCCGGUAGACGAUGGGGAUGCGUUCCAUUAGAUAGUAGGCGGGGUAACGGCCCACCUAGUCAACGAUGGAUAGGGGUUCUGAAAGGAAGGUCCCCCACAUUGGAACUGAGACACGGUCCAA